rnacentral:rRNA from 1 species
UUUUUUGUGAAGAAACAAAAAUUUAAAUUAAAGACAAGAAGACCCUAAGAAUUUUUUUUUUUAUUAAAAUAAUAUUUUAUUUUAAAAAUUUAAUUGGGGCGAUUAAUUAAUAUUAAAAACUUUAUUAACAAAAAAAAUGAUCCAUUAUUAAUGAUUAUUUGAUUAAAAUACUCUAGGGAUAACAGCGUAAUAAUUUUUGAUAGUUCUUAUAGAAAAAAUAG